AAACAGCAUGCAAGUGGACACAGUUGUCUGUGCUUUUGUUCUACUGCUGAGACAAAUUCAAACUCAAGAAACUCAGCAUGUAAGUUUUAUCACGGGGACGGAUGUGUCUCUACAAUGUUUGAACUGGACAGUUAAGGAACNNNNNNNNNNNNNNNNNNNNNNNNNNNNNNNNNNNNNNNNNNNNNNNNNNNNNNNNNNNNNNNNNNNNNNNNNNNNNNNNNNNNNNNNNNNNNNNNNNNNUGAUAACAAUACUGUAAACAGCAGGUGUGGUGAUUCCAGAAUAACAAUAAUGAAGAAGCACGACAGUCACUUUCUUCACAUAUCACACUUUCAGAGUUCUGAUGAAGGGAGUUACAGGUGUGAGAUUGUUGAGCCUAAUGGGACGCAUAAGAUGUAUUUUAACGUAUCUGCACAGGGUAAUGAAAGUGAGGGAAUAGUAUCCAGUGAAGCCAGUUUGAACAAAAUAUUGGGGAUAUGUGCUUCUGCUGGAGUUAUAAGUGUUGCAUUGAUUUUAGUCAUAAUUUUCAUGACAAGUAUAAAAUAUAAAAUCAGGAACCGCAGCAAGAGAAAGAACCCUGCAUUUUACAGCAAAGAGGAUCUGCAUGACUUUGAACCAUAUUCUGUAUAUAUGGAAAAGACCAAUACAAUUUAUAACUUAUAAACUGGGGUGAGAUUGAGGACAGUUCUGUGACAUAGUGCAGGUCAAAUAUAGAGACUUGCAUGUAUUAAUGGCUUUACUGUUGUUUUGCUCUUAAUAUUGGACAAAGAUAGAAAAUGUAAAUUUUUUAUUAAAUAUGUGGAAAGGUUUUUUGAAAUAUCGAGAACUCUCUUGAAUAACUAGUAAAUAUGUAAUGCAAUUACUACUUUGUGUAUGUCACAGAAGAUAAGACAUUUCCAUUAAGUAUCUCAUUUUAAAUCAUCACUCACUGCUGUGUAUACCAGAUCCUUGGUGGCCCUGUGCUGAAAAUUUGAGUUUGAGCCCCCAGCCGAAUAGUAUUUCACUCUUAUUUUUCCCUCAAGGGACUUUCUAACAAAUAUAUAAUUGGUAAAACUCAUUUGUAUCUCAUAAAUUGAUUUCCACUCUCUGUGUCAUCAUACACUUCAACAUACUGUAUUUUUAUCAGACCAAACCUCUCAAGAUCAGCUACUGGAUUUGGUUGCAAUCUUUUCAGUUUGCCCCUGCCAGGGACCGGAACAACCUGAAGAGAAAGCCAGAGCUUUCAUACCAGUGGUCAUUUUUGGUUGUGAUUAAAUCUUUCCUGGCAUGUACAGCAGCACCAGCAGUGAUAGGUGCAACGGGCCAUGAUGUAAGGUGUGAGUAGGCUGGGCUGAAGUCAUAGGUUUUCAGUCUGGAUUUAAAUCUUGAGAUUGAUUCAGAGUCCUAUACGUAGGCUGGCAGACUGUUCCAUAAACUAGGGGCCCUGUAGCUAAAGACUUUACUGCCAACUGUUUUUUAUUAAUAUGUGUAAUAAGAAGAAGACCUGCAUCUGUGAUCUAAGUGGUCAACUUGGAUUGUAUACAUUUAUCAGCUCCAUUGUACCUAACAGGAAGCCAUAGGAGAGAGCUAAGUAUAGGUGUUAUGUGGUCAUACUUUCUACUCCUAGUAACAAUUCUAGCUGCCGUGUUUUGAAUUCGCUGUAAGGUGUUGAAAAGUGCAAUAGGUGCUCCCUGAUAGUAGGGCAUUACAGUAAUCUAAUCUGCUGUAUAUAAAAGUAUGUAUUAGUUUCUCUGUGUCUUGAGUGGAGAGGAAAUGCCUUGGUUUUGCAAUAUUUCUUAGCUAUAGGAAGCAUGCCUUCGAUUCUGCAUUAACAUGAGAGUUAAAUGAGAGCCUUGUGUCUAAGAUGAGGCUAUAGCAGUCCUAUCAGCACGGUUGCCUACAAACAACAGAACCUCACUUUUAUCAGAGUUGAGUGACAAACUCUUUUCACACAUCCAAAACUUUACUUCAUUGAUGCAAUUAGCUAAAGUGACAAUUGAUGAGUUGUCAUUAGGUGUAAAUGAAAUGUAUAUUUAAGUGUCAUCAGCAUAUGAAUGAAAGUUAAUAUUAUGCAUUCGUAUUAUCCUACCUAGCGACAAAAUGCACAGAGAGAACAAUACUGAUCUGAGCACUGAUCCCUGCGGUGCUCCAAAUUUUACUGGUGACAGUGACGAAGCAGUAGAAUUAUUAGAUAUUUGAACAUAGUGAAAAUGGUUAGUUAAAUAGGAGGUAAACCACUUAAGGAUGGUUCCAGAUACAGUAGGCCAACCUCAGACUCAAGCCUGUGUAAUAAAAUACAAUGGUCAACCAUGUCAAAGGCAGACCCAGAAAACACAAGCACUGUUGCAUUCCCUGCGUCAGUUGCUAACAGAAUAUAAUUUCGAACUCUUGUUAAUGCAGUUUCAGUACUGUAGCCUUGGCCGAAACCAGAUUGGAAUUUCUCAAGUAUAUUAUUUGAAUCCAGAUAUGACUGAAGUUGGGCCACAAGCAUUCUCUCAAGAAUUUUAGAUAGAAAUGGAACAUUUGAGACAGGUCUGUAGUUGUUAAGAACUUGUGAAUCCAAAUUUGGUGUCUUAAGCAGCGGUCUAACCACCAUUACCUUAAAUUGAUCAGGUACAACGCCCGAUGCAAGGGACAUGUUCAUCAUACUAAAUAUAGGUCCUGCAAGUACGUCGAGGGAAUCCUUAACUAGUUUGGUGGCAAUGGGAUCUAGCGGACAGGUGGUUGAUUUUGUCUUAAUAAUUAAUUUCUUUAGUUCUUGUUCAAUAACUAAUUGAAAAACAUUGAAAAGAUGGGCACGUUGCUUUUGCACCAGACUUCAUUGUAGCCUGUUUGAUUGUAUUUGAAGUCUGAUGUUGUUAAUUUUAUUGUUAAAGAAGUCCAUGAAAUUGUCACUACUAAAGUUAGCUGGUACGGUUGAAUCGGCCUUAUUUGUUAGAUUAGCUAUUGCCCUUAAUAGGUAGUGAGGGUUAUUUUUAUUGAUUUCUAUAAGUUCAGAGUAGGAAGCUGAACGAGCUUUCAUAUAGGGCUUUCUUAUAUUGUUGCAGGCUAUCAGUCCAUGCCGACUGGAAUACUUGCAAACCAGUGGCCUUCCAUUUGCGCUCUAGCUUGCAGCACUCCUGUUUAAGGGAUCAUGUGUGAUAAUUACACCAUGGAGAGUGUCUAGUGGUUCUGACUACUGAAGUAAGAGACAAGAUGUAAAAAGGGUUAACUUAAGUCAGUUCUGCCUGAAAAUUAGACUUCUAAGCAACAGGGGUUUAUGGCAGGAAAGGGGGUUAACUGAUAAGGAUUCCAGAUGCGAGCUAGGAACCCCCUGGGGGCGUAAUCUUAAACUGAUCAUUUGGUCAGGGUCUCUUAACUGGCCAAAUACCAUGACCCCCCCUUACCAUAACACCGAAUGACAUCCGAAGCAGCAAAGAAGGAUUAAAUAACCUAAAACUUUGUACCGGCACAUCGAACAAUACUUCGGUUUUGUUGUUUCUUGCGGGAAACAAGACUUCGGCUUUCUUGUUCCUUGCAUGCAAUAAACUAAUCUGUUUUACUUCAUCUCGGGAUCCAGAACCUUAUUCUUUCUGUUACAACACUACCUUAGUCUUUUAAUGGGGCUAUUUAAUCGAAUAAAGAAUUAUAGUUCUUAUUUUCCAAAGCCUAUAAGAUCUAGCUUAAAGCCAGCAGUUACAGAUCAUAUCACACAUGGAUAUCCUAUGGGGACAAUGUAGAUGUUAGGGAAUUAUUAAAAUAAUUAAUUACAACAUUCACAGGCCUUUCUACCUUAAGGUCUAGAUGUGGG
ensembl:lincRNA